CAAUACUGCAUUCGUACUUUGUACUACUUUUUUGGGUGGUGAAGUUCUCAAAAACCCAAAACAGAGAAGAAAUGGCAAGCGGUCCUCUUCCUCCUCCUCCGUCGUCGUUGAAGGCAAACACGGCAGCAGGAGACCCCAAAUUCGAUCUCGUGAAGCAGAUUCGCAGCCACGAGGUUGCAAUUGCAGAGCUCAAUGCUCUUUCAUCGUCCCGGACAGUGUAUCAGAAGAAUGGGAACUUAUUUUUCCGUACAACAAUCCAGAAAGCAUCGGCAUCUGAACAGAAACAACUAGAUUUGACUAAAGCAAGCCUUGAAAAGUUGAAUUCUUCUUGAUACGGCUUGGUCUACAUUGAUGCGUUGGCAGCUUUCUAAGGAUAAAGAACGGGUGCAUCUCUUAUUGCAUGGAAUCGUGCUGUUUGGGAGUCGAGAAGACAUUUUCCUUUUUUGUUAUGGUCAUAGAACAAAUUUCCUCUGCUUUUUGUAUUUGUCUUGGUGUUGCAAUCGUUAGCCUUUAGCAUAUAGAUAUAUGGUUGAAGAGAAGUAGUCAUGGGAAUUUUCGGAGAAGAAUAUUGUACAACUCAAAUAUGAUUUUGAAGUAUAUUAUUGAGUUAUUUCCCGGAAUACCUUCAUAUGUUUUA